AAUUUUCCAAUUCCUAACCAAACCUAAAUGUGAACCCAAAAGGAAAUGGAGAAGAGGAAUUGAAAAGCAUAACAUACCUUACUGAAGCACUUGGUUCUCGUUAGCAAAUGAAGAUUAGGGAGUUGGGAAAGGAAAAUUUUCAGUUUUGGGAAGUUUUUGGGAGUGGAAGUGAAAGCGAGGCAAACUUGGUGUUUUGAAAAUGAAUUAAAAUGAAAAGGAAAAUAUAACCUAACAGAACUUAAGUGGUUCUGCC
rnacentral:lncRNA from 1 species